rfam:Chlorocebus sabaeus isolate 1994-021 chromosome 3, whole genome shotgun sequence.
GCUGGGCACCACUGUAGUCCCAGUUACUCAGGAGACUGAGGCAAGAGAAUAGCUUGAGCCCAGGCAUUCUGGGUUGUAACGCACUAUACUGACUGGGUAUCCACACUAAGUUCAGCAUCAAUAUGGUAAUCUCCCAGGAACGGGGAACCACCAGGUUGCCUAAGGAGUGAACUGGCCCAGGUUGGAAAAAGAGCCAGUCAAAACUCCUGUGUUGAUCAGCAGGGAGAUUGCACCUGUGAAUAGCCACUGCACUAUGAUCUGUUGUCUACAACAAGCACACUUCACAU